rnacentral:lncRNA from 1 species
GUUGGGCUGGUCCAGGAGGAACGAGUCCGAGAACUGGCUGAAGCCGAUGAACAGCGCCGGGAUCCAGAGCUAAUACAUGCAAAGUUCUGACCUCCAUGCCUGGAACAGACAUGGAAACAGCCUCUUCUGUUUGAUGAGAAUCAUCCCAAAGUUGGCAUAUGAAGCUUGAGUUUCAAGUGAAGAAAAACACACAGAUGGAUGUAACCAAAUCUAAAGUUAUUAAACGGAUUUUUUUUUAUGACUGGAAGCUAGCGGGCAACAAGAGGAAUGAAUAUUCCUGAAGGAGGCAGAUUAUUAGACCCAGAGUAUACUUUCUGAGGUACCCUACGCGAAGGAAGGAUCAUUGCACCAUUACGGAGACGAGGAUACAAACUGUCAGGCCUCUGAGCCCAAGCUAAGCCAUCACAUCUCCUGUGACCUGCACAUAUACAUCCAGAUGACCUGAAGCAAAUGAAGAACCACAAAAAAUAACAUUCCACCAUUGUGAUCUGUUCCUACCCACCCUAACUGAUCAAUUGACCUUAUGACAAUACCCCCUCCCCGCCCUUGCAAUAAUAUACUUUGUCAUACUCCCCCGCCCUUAAGAAGGUACUUUGUAAUAUUCUCCCCGCCCUUGAGAAUGUACUUUGUGAGAUCCACCCCCUGCCUAUAAAAAAUUGCUCCUAACUCCACCGCCUAUCCCAAACCUAUAAGAACUAAUGAUAAUCCCAGCACCCUUUGCUGACUCCUUUCUUGGACACAGCCUGCUUGCACCCAGGUGAAAUAAACAGCCUUGUUGCUCACACAAAGC